rnacentral:rRNA from 1 species
AUUGAACGCUAGCGGCAUGCUUUACACAUGCAAGUCGAACGAGUGGCGGACGGGUGAGUAAUAUCUCGGAACGUGCCCAGUAGCGGGGGAUAACUACUGGAAACGGUGGCUAAUACCGCAUACCAUCGGAUGGGCCCAUAUGGGAUUAGCUAGUUGGUGGGGUAAAGGCUCACCAAGGCAACGAUCCGUAGCUGGUCUGAGAGGAUGACCAGCCACACUGGAACUGAGACACGGUCCAGACUCCUACGGGAGGCAGCAGUGGGGAAUUUUGGACAAUGGGGGAAAGCCUGAUCCAGCCAUCCCGCGUGUAUGAGAAGGCCUUCGGGUUGUAAAGUACUUUUGGCGGGGAAGCGGUAUCUGCAGAAUAAGCACCGGCUAACUACGUGCCAGCAGCCGCGGUAAUAC